AAGGGCGUGUAGGCGGUGGGACAGUCAGAUGUGAAUACUCCGUCUUAGCUGCGGGGCUGCAUCUGAACUGGUCUUCUUGAUUGUCGGAAAGGAAAGUGGAAUUCCCAGUGGAACGGUGAAAUGCGUAAAAAUUGGGAGGAACACCAGUGGCGAAGGCGGCUUUCUGGACCACAACUGACGCUGAAGCGCGAAAGCGUGGGGAGCAAACAGGAUUAAAUACCCUGGUAAUCCACGCUGUAAACGAUGGAUACUAAGUGUAAGAGGUAUCGACCCCUUCUGUGCCGGAAUUAACAAAAUAAGUAUCCCGCCUGGGGAGUACCGUCGCAAGGUUGAAACUCAAAUGAAUUGAAGGUCAU
rnacentral:rRNA from 1 species